GCGAGGUUGCUUCGGUAACUGAGCUAGCGGCGGACGGGUGAGUAAUGCUUAGGAAUCUGCCUAUUAGUGGGGGACAACAUUCCGAAAGGGAUGCUAAUACCGCAUACGUCCUACGGGAGAAAGCAGGGGAUCUUUAUGACCUUGCGCUAAUAGAUGAGCCUAAGUCGGAUUAGCUAGUUGGUGGGGUAAAGGCCUACCAAGGCGACGAUCUGUAGCGGGUCUGAAAGGAUGAUCCGCCACACUGGGACUGAAACACGGCCCAAACUCCUACGGGAGGCAGCAGUGGGGAAUAUUGGACAAUGGGGGGAACCCUGAUCCAGCCAUGCCGCGUGUGUGAAGAAGGCCUUUUGGUUGUAAAGCACUUUAAGUGGGGAGGAGGCUUACCUGGUUAAUACCUGGGCUAAGUGGACGUUACCCACAGAAUAAGCACCGGCUAACUCUGUGCCAGCAGCCGCGGUAAUACAGAGGGUGCGAGCGUUAAUCGGAUUUACUGGGCGUAAAGCGCGCGUAGGUGGUUAAUUAAGUCAAAUGUGAAAUCCCCGAGCUUAACUUGGGAAUUGCAUUCAUACUGGUUAGCUAGAGUAUGG
rnacentral:rRNA from 1 species